rnacentral:misc_RNA from 1 species
UGUUCACGAUGGGCCAGACAGAG